rnacentral:rRNA from 1 species
AGUGAACGCUGGCGGUAGGCCUAACACAUGCAAGUCGAACGGCAGCACAGUAAGAGCUUGCUCUUACGGGUGGCGAGUGGCGGACGGGUGAGGAAUACAUCGGAAUCUACUUUUUCGUGGGGGAUAACGUAGGGAAACUUACGCUAAUACCGCAUACGACCUACGGGUGAAAGCAGGGGAUCUUCGGACCUUGCGCGAUUGAAUGAGCCGAUGUCGGAUUAGCUAGUUGGCGGGGUAAAGGCCCACCAAGGCGACGAUCCGUAGCUGGUCUGAGAGGAUGAUCAGCCACACUGGAACUGAGACACGGUCCAGACUCCUACGGGAGGCAGCAGUGGGGAAUAUUGGACAAUGGGCGCAAGCCUGAUCCAGCCAUACCGCGUGGGUGAAGAAGGCCUUCGGGUUGUAAAGCCCUUUUGUUGGGAAAGAAAAGCAGCAGGUUAAUACCCCGCUGCUCUGACGGUACCAAAAGAAUAAGCACCGGCUAACUUCGUG